rnacentral:rRNA from 1 species
UAGGGAAUCUUCCGCAAUGGGCGAAAGCCUGACGGAGCAACGCCGCGUGAGUGAUGAAGGUCUUCGGAUCGUAAAACUCUGUUAUUAGGGAAGAACAAAUGUGUAAGUAACUAUGCACGUCUUGACGGUACCUAAUCAGAAAGCCACGGCUAACUACGUGCCAGCAGCCGCGGUAAUACGUAGGUGGCAAGCGUUAUCCGGAAUUAUUGGGCGUAAAGCGCGCGUAGGCGGUUUUUUAAGUCUGAUGUGAAAGCCCACGGCUCAACCGUGGAGGGUCAUUGGAAACUGGAAAACUUGAGUGCAGAAGAAGAAAGUGGAAUUCCAUGUGUAGCGGUGAAAUGCGCAGAGAUAUGGAGGAACACCAGUGGCGAAGGCGACUUUCUGGUCUGUAACUGACGCUUAUGUGCGAAAGCGUGGGGAUCAAACAGG